rnacentral:rRNA from 1 species
AUGAUAAGCCAUCCCUUGGCAUAUGUCGCACCCAACCCCCGACACAAAAGCAUCUUCAGCAACACAAAGCUUCAGUUCCACAUUGCAACUGAAGUAGUGCUCCGGCUAGAUGUGGCGCAAGAGAAGAGUCAGCUCACUCCAAGGGAUUUUUGGUUCAGGAAGACGCAGAAACUGAAGAUCGUUGGUCUCGCGGCGCUUGAGCUGGUCAGAAAGAGGCAGGCAGCGCGAACCACCUGGCUGAAAGCGGGUGAUGCGCGCACUGCUUUCUUCCAGGCAAAGAUCAUCUCCAGGAGGAGGAAGAACCACAUCCACUGCAUUGAGGUCGCGGGCAAGGAGGCAACAAACCACAACGACAAAGCACAACUGAUUCAUCAAUAUUUCUCUGCCCUGCUUGGCACCAAGGGGAGGAGGGCUAGAACAAUCAACUGGGACUCAAUCGAGCUCCCGCGACUGCAGGCUGGGGCUGGACUUGACAACCCCUUCACGGAGGGAGAGGUGUGGACGGCGAUCUGCGCCUCUCUGGCAGAGAAUGCGCCAGGACCAGACGGUUUUAGUGGCACAUUCUUCAGAGUGUGCUGGCAACCAAUCAAUGCAGACAUCAUGGCAGUUUUGAGGCCUUCUACCGGCUUGCUGGCAACGACUUUGCAGCCCUCAACCGUGCAAUCGUUGUGCUGCUGCCAAAGCAAUCCGGCGCAACAAAGCUGA